rnacentral:rRNA from 1 species
AACGUAGGUACCGAGCGUUAUCCGGAUUUACUGGGCGUAAAGCGCGUUCAGGCGGCUUAGCAAGUCGGGCAUGAAAUCUCUCGGCUCAACCGGGAGGGGCUGUCCGAUACUGCUGGGCUUGAGGGCAGUAGAGGGUGGUGGAAUUCCGGGUGUAGUGGUGAAAUGCGUAGAGAUCCGGAGGAACACCAGUGGCGAAGGCGGCCACCUGGACUGCCCCUGACGCUGCAACGCGAAAGCUAGGGGAGCGAACGGG